rnacentral:lncRNA from 1 species
UUCGUUGUGUUUUUGAACGGUUUGCGCGAGAUAUUGGCAUGUAUUUGAAUCGACAACUCGUUAGUGGUCGCCGGAAUAGGUAGCCGACGGGGGCCGGCGCCGGUCGAGUGGGAUGACCGGUGGGCGGCAGUGGUCCGGCGACUUUCCUUGGGGCGGUCGAUACUUGCAGAGUAGUCGGCGUCAGUCCGACGAGGGAGUGGCAAGAGCCUCGGCGUGUCGCGGCUGCGGGAGAGAAGGGAUAGAAAGAGACGAUCAGAAAAGGGGCAGAAAAAAAAUUUAAAAAAAAAAGGAAAGAGAAAAGAAAGCACAAAAAAAGGGAAAAAAAAAAAAGGAAAAGAGAAACGGGCUUCGUUUUGGGCUGGUUUUUAAUUCGUGGGUUGUUUAGGUUGGGCUGGAAAUAGAAGUUAAAAAUUGACCCUCAAAUGGGCUAGACAAAUUGAAAAUGGGCUUUGGGCUGAGAAUUAUCCCUAUUUCUUUUUUUCUUUUUUCUUUUUAAAUUCGUGUGGUUUUUUUUUUUUUUAGUGGGCUGAACCCGGGUCUGGUCAGAGAGACCGGACCCGACCCGCUCGACCGGGUCAGACCCGGUCGGUUCAGAUUGGGCCCUACCCGGUCCGGCCCCUAAAAAUAAUAAUUUUUUAAAAAAAAAUUUCCGAAAACAAAUUAAAACAAAUUAAAAUAAAUUAAAAAUUAAAAAUUAAAAAUUUCGAAAAUCCAAAAAUGAUGGGGUUUGGUUAAGAAUUGAUAUGUUUGCAUUUUUAGUGUAAUUAGGCAUUUACUUGCUCGUAUUUUGAUUAUUUCAUAUGUUUAAUUUGCAUAUCUAAUUGUGUUUAAUUGCACGUGUUUAAUUUUAUUGCAAUUAGGGUCUUGAUAGCUAUGAUUGUUACUUUAAUGACUGUGCACCGCAUGAUCACCUCAUAUGUUAGUGGAUAUAUGCAAAAUCAAUCUAAACUGCUUGAUAAAAAUAUUUAACAGAUACAAUCUAAUUGAACAGGCCUAGUAAUAUCAUUUGAAUGUUUAUAAACAAGCUACUCCGGCAGAGACAUAAAUACACACAGAAUCAACUACUUGAUUAGGCUCUCCAGACAUCUGUUUCACAAUGUCGAAAGCCCGAAGUCAACUCAAACUUCUGCUCCAAUUACGUUUGUUCAGAAAUGAUAUAGGGUUGAGUUUGAUCUCCCCCGCAGUCAGUCUGCGAUCAUUAUUCAAACGGAUGGUGAUACCGCCAUGCUUUUCCCCAGCUGAAGAUUUAAUUUGGUCUUACAUGAUUGGAUUGGAAAUUUUAAAGAAAAUCUCUGCUGAGAAGGGAUUGUGCUAGUACUGAUUUAUUGCCGAUGCUCAUGUGUUCAUGAACCUUAUAGGUUGGUGAUACAGGUAUCCGCCCCAAAAGCCAAGGACCAUGAAACUUUGCUCAAAUUGAGGACGACUGUUUAAGCCGGUGCUCGCUUUAUAGAGUCGUGUCCUGCAUUUGCAAAACGUGGUCUCAGAAGAUCUUAAUGAUUAAAAGUUGACAACAGAGAUAGCAUGUCAUGUUGCGACCGUGUUUUCUUAUUGGCGGUCAUGCUGCGACCGUGUUUUCUUAUUGGCAUUUUGUCAAGAAGUUGUAAGUUAACUUUGCCAACCAUUUGUUUAUCAGCAAAAAAGUACACAAUUGAAAUCUUUCCUUUUGCAUCAUUGCGUGUAUUCAAGAAGAGGGCAAAGAUUUCUAUCCAAUAAUUUAUUAUGAUUAGCCAUCUAGAACUAAGCGAAGAUGAUUUUACCCUCAUAUAAGUUACAGAUUCGAUCGACAAAGAGUAGAUAAGAAUACUGUCAAACUUGAGGGGUAUCCAUACCGGUGAGAUAAAAGCGGUGUGUGAAACAUCAGGAUAUCCUUCGACAGAGGGCAAUUCUGAGUUCCGAUAACAGUUAAAUUCUCCUUCUGUUGUCGAUGUGAGCUUUCUUCGCUGCAGGUCCUGAGCGCGAAUGCUCACCACUUGAUUCAAUCUAAAACACGCAUUGGGAGGAAUAAUCAGAAUCAAAUGUUGUUUUAAACCAAGCCUGCAAGACCUAGUUUUUCACCUUAUUGAGCUUGUCUCUGACCAAUCGCGCUGUCUGAUUCAUCGAAUGGGAUUGAAAAUAAUCCUGACAUCCAUCGAAAUAGAAGAAAAUUGUGAGUUAGCCCCAGGACAAAAUGACAAUCUGAGACUUUCGCAUAUGGAUGCUGGAUCAAGCUUAUACGCAUUGAACAUAUAACGCAAGAUGAAGGCAAAUGUCUAAUUUCUCCCGAAGAAAAUGGUAAGGAAUGAUAAGAAUUGCCCUCCCAUUUAAUUCAUUCUAACAUAAAGGAACAGAGGAACUUUUGCAUCAAAUAUGUGAAUAUUAGAAAAUAUAUUUGUAGAACAUAAUUGAAAAGAACAACACCAAUGUUAAUUAGGUUGAGCACAUGCAGUCUACUGUGUAUAAUACUGACUUCUUGGUCAAAAUAUGCUACUGUCUUCUAAAUACAUGUGCAUAUCUGACAACUGACAUCAGAUAGUGCUAGCACACAAGCAAUAUGUGGUACUUUAAAUCAGCAAAGAAAUGUCUCCAAUUAUGCAUGGAGCAAAACGUGUCUCAAGAUAACCCAGUUUAAGCUAAUAUGACCAAAAAUAUGAACAGAGCAAGUUCGGCGGUCAUCUUAAUUGUUGUAUAAUAGGUAAAACUCCAAGUAGUUCCUUAUUUCAAUUUAAACCUCUAUUCCAUCAAUUGCAGAAAGCAGAACUAAAUUGGAGGGACCAUAUUGAUAUUUAGCAGUGUGAUAAAGUGACAUACCAGCUCCGAGGAAACCCUUGUAUAUGGAGAACUGUCAGCAUGAGGAAUGAGUGGUGAUGCACUGGCACCACAAAGAAAGUACGGUUGACUGCUAUUUAUGCAUGCUGAAAGCAUUAGAAGAACAGCAUUUCAAGGCUUUGUUAACAUACCGCUUGAUUGAAGAUCUGUUGGCCAACAGCACUAUUCUGCGAGGAACUUGCAUUAGCUGAAGACCUUACCUGACUGACACUGCUAGAGGUGGCAGUACCCUUGAAUCUUUCAGCUACAUGAGCAGACGCAAUAUGUAUUUAUCAUAUGAAAACUUGUGCCUAGAUCAAAAUCAGGAUUGUGCUCUCAACUGUAAAAGCUUACAGUUCAACCGAGUAAGAACUUCCUUUCUCCUAGCUUCUAACUUUUCUCUCGUAUCAGAGAGACUCUCAAAGUGGGAAGCAUAUGAAACUUGUAGUCUAUUCCCAUAGAAGGCAUACUCAUCCAACUUUUUUAAGUCGAACAAGGAUGUAAAAUUAAGGAUGCAAGAGCCAUUCUAUAUCCUGAAUAAAUAAACUUCAUGACAAAUAUGAAGACAACUGGAAUUCUGCACUUGAAGGAGCAAAUCCACUCACGUAGCAUUGCAGUCGAGACGGAACUUGAUCCAAUAAACAUCAGUGUAUGGCUCACAGUCUUCUUCAUCCAUUGGUUUACAUCUGAAGAAGCAACCAAAGAUCAAACCUAGAGAAUUUUGCUGUGAAAAUGAAUAAAAACUCAAAAUUAGAGAGUACCAACUGUUUAUGAUCAUGAUUCAUAAAUCUUUACUAAAAAAUCCGAGGACACAGGGAAAAAGAUACUAACUCUUCAACAUCACCAUAAGUGGCAAAGAGUUUCAACAGCUCAUCUCCACAUCCUAAUGCAGGUACAUUCCUCACGAUAAGGUACCUGUCAAGAAACAUGAAGGAAACAAAUAAGAACCAAAUCAAACCCACCCCUAACAAAAAGCAAACGACCUAUGUCAGAAGAAUCAACUCAAAAGCAUCUAACUCAUCUAUUGCAACGGCCUAUCAAAUGAAGAACCAUAACAAAAAGAUUUUAGGUUCAACACAGACCUCAAUUCAUCACAGACCAUGUACACGCAAAUUGUGGGAGGCUCAUCUUUGUACCGAGGCAUGCCCUGCUACUUCCUCGGAAAUCAGAAGCCGAGCAAUCUUUCGCCGGCAACGUGUGUGAGCCACUGGACCUCGAUGAUCAGCGCCGUCAGAGUAAGUCGUCGGUGGCGAUCAGAUCUUCCAUCGAAUGAAGUAGCUAUUAUUUUUGCCUUAUAUGCCAAUCUAUGAUGCAUUCAAAUUCCAAGAUGACUACAGAAGUUGCAUCCAAUCUGCUCCUAAGACAUUUUGAUAACAAGCGGCAUACAGCCAAAUCAGUCAGAGGUCUCCACUCACAAGGAUGCAUCAGUUUAGACGGUUUAGCUAUAAAUUUUAAAGUUGAAAAAGGAGCCUAAAAAGAGUGCUCAAGGCAUGAAAUCAAAAGACGAAAGCAGCAAAGGUGAAGAUCAUAUCAUCAAUAGUCUUGCAAAAGACAUGUUUCGGUACACUCUAGUUUGCAUUCAAGACAUUGAAGAGCGCAACAAACAAGGAUUGAACACGCAAUUUUCUGGUCACAACAAACUUAUGGUUGGGCAUAUGUACAUCUGCUGUUCCCUAAGACAACACCCAACACAUAUUUCACUCAAAUUGCGGGAAGUUGCGCAACAAAACAACUCAGGCCCUAAAACUGGAAAGAACAGAAACCCAUUUGAUUGAUCAGUUCACUUAGCGCGACAUGGCUCCCUCACAAGGGCGUGUGUAGUGUGUGUUCAGGAAUGGAGAAAUUUGACCACAAUAACCUUCUUGUUCCUCUCUACUUACACCCCCUCCAAGGCUGCAAUUUCUCCAUUCCACAUGAUCCUUCCAAGGUUCAACCAAACAUCCAAGUCUUGCCCAAUUUCAAAACUUUCGCCCAACUUACAGAGGCAACACAGAUAUAAAAAGGGAAACAAAGAGGCCCCAAUACCUUCAUGUCUCUUGAAACAGACCAACGAACAACCGCGCCCACAGCAAACAGUAAAGAACAAGAAAACAGUUCAAGGGCCAGAACGCGACAGGGCUUCUCGAAACCGCAACCGAAAUCGAGGGCAGAGGCGUUUCCACUUAUUGACUUUCUAAAGCCCCCUUCUUUACUUUGGGUUUUUUAUUUAUUUAUUAUUAUUUUAUGAUGCUGAACGUUCUUAUGCUUCUAUUUGGAUUAAGAGAAAUAUAUAAAUUGAGUGAAACUAAAAAAUAAAAAUAAAAAGUUCUAGUCAAUAAUGAAAGUAAUUUUUCUUUUGACCAAAAAAAUAAAUAAAUGUAGAGGGACUGUUUGGGCCCUUGAGUUGGGUUGGGCCAAUUUUGGACUGAGUCCACAAAAGUAUUCCUUUACGUGCCGAACUAGAGAUGGUUGACUCAUUUGAUUCGAUCAAAUCCAAAAGAACCUCUGGCUUUAACUGGUUAGGAUCGCUAUUCAUGCAAACUACAAUUAUAUCAAAAAAAAAAUAUUAGAUGCCCCUCAUGCUCCAGGCAAAUAAGAAGGUGUUGAGAAGGCGACACGUGUCCUCUCAUGGGACCUACAAGCUGAGCCAAAAUUUUGAUAAUUUUGGUGUAUACUAUAACUGUGAAAGUAAGGUUUCUCCUUCUGCAAAGACUGUACACCCCUCUUUCUCUCUCUUCACGUCUCUCUCUACCCUCCCUCUUUUCAACCAGCAAAUCAUUGUGCCCGAUCAAUUAACCACUACGCUGCCAUUCUAGCUUUGGAUUCGGCCUUGACUUGUCCAUCCCUCGCUCUUUAUCUCUUUUCGCGUCUCUCUCUCUUGGGCCAAUGAACCUGCGUGUCCAACCAACGAACCACCGUGCUGCCCAUCCGGCUCGGGAUCCGGCCCCAACUUGUUCGUCCCUCGCUCUUUCUCUCUCUUCGAGUCUCUCUUUCCCCUUCCUCUCUCCGAUAGGUGAACCACCAUGCGAUUGUCGAACCAUCGCAUCAGCCCUCUUGCUCUGGAUCCAACCCCGACUCAUUCUGUAUGUUGGAAUGUUCACGCCCAACCCCUUCUCUCUCACCAGUUUGUCAAUCUCUAGGUUUGCCAGCAUCACGAUCUUGUUAGGGCUCAGCCCAACCUCCUUCCUCAAGUCCCAAGUCCUUCUCUCCAAUGUCAAUGUCAUUUCUCGCUUUCACUUUUUUCCCUCCUCCUAAUUUGCUGUGUGGAUUCAAGUGUGCAGUGCUCUGUGCUUUGGGGCCUUCUUCUCUCUUUCCUUUCUCAAACAGCGUGACGGAAGGGGGGGUUCAGUUCUUUUUGUUCUUUUCUUGGAUUCUUCUUGUAUUUUCUUUACUUUAUACUGCUCAGAAUUCUCCCCACUCUCUGUCAAAAGAACGUAAUGCAAUUUGCUAAAAAAAAACAAUUGCAAGUGUUGGAUUUUUUAAUCAUUUCCUGAUUAUGGAGAAAGAUUUUCAGGAUAAAUCCAUAAUUUCGUAAUUGUGAAAUUUGACCGCAUUGUUUUUGGUUGGGGGAUGGGUUGAUGUGAAACUAUCUCCGCCUGUCAACAGAUCAAACAAAUCUGAGAUUUGGACACCGAGAAAAUAUUAGGUAAAUGGGGCUUUAAGAGUAUAAACACGAUUUUAUCGCUUAUUGACUCCUAGGCGGGUUUUAAGAGUAUAGACAUGAGUUGUCCUCUACCAAUAUUGAAGGUUCAUUCUUUUUGUACAAAAUUGUUGUAAACUUUACAGUUGAAAUCAAUAGGCUAGUUUAGCUGGUUGGACAAGAAAUUAAUUCAUAAUCGAGUCUGGUUUUGUCUACUUAACCAUUCCUAACUAAUACCGGAUCAAACCAAAAUGGACGAUUGGAAUGGGAUGACUAAAGGCUAAGUCGUUACUUUUUAUUUAAAACAUGUGGUGGGUAUAUAGAUUAUUGAAGUGAUUUAGAUUUGGAUAUUUCCUAUUCAUAGGAGUUUUUGGCCUGUUUGUGAGAUCUAGAUUAAAGCUAAUCUUUCCACAUAAAAAUUCUAACCCUUUCUUUGGCUGGUAUAAGACUUCUAUGUAAUUAUCCAUUCAUUUACCUGCAUGUUACAACACUUGGGAACAUGCAUUUGAGUUUGGUAGGGCCCUAGAAUAUCGUGGUCCAAAUGCAUGUUCUUUUAUUGAUAUGCAAUUAUACUGUAGAUGGUGACACCAGUUUUUAUUAGCCCAUACUGUCUUGUUUGUUUCUACAGAUGAUGAUAUUUGUUUCAAUUAGCUUAGUUAUAUGUUUGAUUCCUUGCUGGUUCACUUAAGUGUAAAAAGUGAUGUGACUUCUUAUGUUCCUAAGGAAACUGAUCUACAAUGCGCUCCUGGUCGAUUUGAGUCUGUAGAAAAGUACAUAAGAGUAUUUGAGUCUUUGUUUUUUGAGAAAUGGAUAGGUGUUCCAGAAGUCCUAAAACUUAUCAUGAAAAUGCAUUACAGUUAUCGUGGGACGCCCAAAUUGAUGGUUUCACAUGACAUCUUAAUGCAUGUUGCUUUAAUGUAUACCUAUACCAUUAUUACAAGAUUCAGUGACAAAUUUUUGCAAAGUCUUUUCGAAAUAUUGCAAGUAAUACAUUUGAUGGAUUGAUUUAUUCAUUUACUCUUAAGUGUAAGGGGUUUAACAUGAACAUGUUGUCAGAUUUGACCUCACAGACUCUUCAGUUUUUUGUGAAUGUAAAUUAUUUGAAUCAAAAUGAUGGUUGUGUUGUCAUGCAUUGAAAGUGUUAACUGAGAACAUAUCGAUUACAUGCAUUUCAUCUCCCUAUGUUUUGAAAAGAUAGACUAAGGGUGCAAAACAAAGGAUUGUAAAUGAUGAAUUUUAUCAAAUGUCACCGGAUUCAUCUAAGUUUAAUCAGUUUUCAAUAUUGAUCCAAUAAUCUUUUGAAUUGAUGAAUUUGGGAGCCGAAGAUGACAAUACUAAGAGAAUAAUGAGAAAAAAAAAACACAAAAAGCGAAUGUUGAAAUUUCAUCAUACAAAUUAAGUGUGGUUAUGGCUAAUAAUACUAAUAAUGAAGAUAAUAAAGCUUCUCCAUGAGACAUUUUGAGUUUAAAGAACAAAAAGAAGAAAAAAUCUAAGAAAGAGACACCCCAAUGCCAAUAGAAAUUCGAGCUGAGUGAUAUAUUAUUCUAAUUAAAAUGAUUAGUUAAUUUUUUAUGUGGUGUAAUAUUUGGGCGGUUCCAUUUUUUUUUUCAAUAUUCACAUUAAUUCAUUCUAUGUCUUGCGUUUGUUAAGAUGUUUAGUAUUUACUGUCACAUUUUCUGUCACUGUUACAGCCGAGAUGCGAUAAACAAGAUUUAUCAAGUAAUAACUUCAAAGGAGCAUUGUGCUCGAGCUGGAGUGAUGCUGACGCAUGGGCAGGCUAAUCAACUAAGCCAUAUGUCUCGAGUGAGAUUGGUUAUCCCAGAUGAUCGCCAAGUAGUGAAAGGAUUUGCCUGUAGGAAGUUGACUUUCUUCUUAUUGUUACUUUUAUCUAUUAUAUUUCUUUAAACAAACUAAUAUGUAGACUUGUGAUAUAAUAGAAACUACAUACUUGAUAGAUAAGUUCAUAUUUAUUGGAUUUGAUUAGAAAAGAGAGGUCGGAGAUUCACUUGAUUUUCUUAAUCUACCAUAUUGGUUUCAAUUUAGGACAAAGCCACGAAAAUAUAAGAGAAGCUAAAAAAUUAAAACCACACUCCAAUGCCGUGAAACUGAAACUUCAAAUCAUUCAUUCUUUUAUUCAGUCAAAUUUUGUCCCACUCGAUUUAUGUUUGUUUAUUAAUUAUUUAUUUUUCCCAAUUUAUAAAUUAUGUAAUGGCUCUUUUGCAUUUGUAUCCAAUUUGGGAUGUAGUAAUGCCGUGAAUGAUGGAUAUUUCUAGUUUUUGGCUUAACUUCUCGAAUGUCUUUUUCUCAUUUUGUUAGUUCAACAGCUCGCAGAAAGAGAUAAUGAGAAAGCCUCGCUAUUAUCCGCAAAAGGGGGAAAUUUUUUUGCGGGGAUAUAUCAGUGAUUCACCUUAUUGCAAUAAUUGUCUGUAUAACACUCAGGAGUUGCUAACUCUGCGAGAGAUUCGACGGAUCUCUAGGCUCUGGACGUUUUUAAUGCCUAGGUUAUACGGCAUUCCCAUGAAGGCAAGAGCUGUUGAUGGGUUCACUUUAGUGUUGACUCGAAUACUUGACUGUUUAGCGUUAAGUAAUUUGAAAUAAUUUGAGUUUUGAUUACGUUCCAUUAAUUAAUUGUUUAUUUUGCUACCUCAAUGAGGUCGAAGCUUACAAUUUUAUUUUUUUUAAUUGAGGCUUCAUCGAGAAUAAAUAAUUAAAUUUCUUUGUGAUUUAUGAGAAAAAUUAACUAUUGAUAUUUUGGCUCGAUUUUUCUUCCACCAUAUCCCUUAUUUGGAAAAAUUCAAAAUGAAACUUUUCAAUAUUUAAUUAGAUUUAAGGUUUUUUUCUUAGUUAAUUAAAUCCUUCACGUGUAGCUUUUUGAUAUUUUAGGUUUUCUCGAGAAUAAAUAACUAAAUUUCUUUGUGAUUUAUGAGAAAAAUUAACUAUUGACAUCUUGGCUCGAUCUUCCACCAUAUCCCUCAUUUGAAAAAAUUCAAAAUGAAACUUUUCAAUAUUUAAUUAGAUUUAAGGUUUUUUUCUUAGUCAAUUAAAUCCUUCACGUGUAGCUUUUUGAUUUUUUAGGCUUCAUCGAGAAUAAAUAACUAAAUUUCUUUGUGAUUUAUGAGAAAAAAUAACUAUUGACAUCUUCGCUCGAUUUUUCUUCCACCAUAUCCCUCACUUCAAGACGAAACUUUUCAAUAUGUAAUUAGAUUUAAGGUUUUUUUCUCGGUCAGUUAAAUCCUUCACGUGUAGCUUUUUGAUUUUUUAUGUUCCACGAGGAUCGUUAGCAUUGUGAUUGGGAUGAAUUGGCGAUCAAUAGUGACUGUGGUGAUGCUGGUGAGAAGGAGGCCUCGUACAAGUACUAACAUUAGUACUUCUAAACACCCAUAGAAGCAUUGCAUAUUAUGUGCAAGGAAGGGAGUGGCCUAUGCGGUCGAAAUUUUACCACUGGACGAGACGAGUAGACAUCGAAAGAUUUUCAAUCGGAGGGGAAUUGUGGAAACACUUGCUGUAAUGUUUGGGCGGUUAAUUCCAUUUUUUUUUCAAUAUUCACGUUAACUUAUUCUGUGUCUUGCGUUUGUUAAGAUAUUUAGUGUUUACUGCCACAUUUUCUGUUACUAUUACAGCCGAGACGCGACAAACAGGAUUUAUAAAGUAAUAACCUCAGAGGAGCAUUGUGCCGGAGCUGGAGUGAUGCUGAUGCAUAGGCAGACUGAUCAACUAAGCUAUAUGCCUCGAGUGAGAUUGGUUAUCCCAGACAAUCGCCAAAUAGUGAAAGGAUUUGCCUGUAAGAAGUUGACUUUCUUCUUAUUGUUACUUUUAUCUAUUAUAUCUCUUUAAACAAACUAAUAUAUAGACUUGUGAUAUAAUAGAAAUUGCAUACUUGAUAGAUAAGUCCAUCUCUAUUGGAUUUGAUUAGAAGAGAGAGGUCGGAGAUUCACUUGAUUUUUUUUAUCUAUCAUAUUGGUUUCGAUUUAGGACAAAGCCACGAAAAUAUAAGAGAAGCUAAAAAAUUAAAACCACACUCCAAUGCCGUAAAACUGAAACUUCAAAUCCCCCAUUCUUUUAUUCAGUCAAAUUUGGUCCCAACAGAUUUAUGUUUGUUUAUUAAUUAUUUGUUUUUCCCGAUUUAUAAAUUAUGUAAUGGCUUUUUUGCAUUUUUAUCCAAUUUGGGAUGUAGCAAUGCCGUGAAUGAUGGAUAUUUAUGGUUUUUGACUUAACUUCUCGAAUGUCUUUCUCUCAUUUUAUUAGUUCAACAGCUUGCAGAAAGAGAUAAUAAGAAAACCUCGUUAUUAUCCGCAAAAUUGGGAGAUUUUUUUGCAGGGAUAUAUCGGUGAUUCACCCUAUUGCAAUCAUUGUCUGUAUAACACUUAGGAGUUGAUAACUUUGCGAGAGAUUUAACAGAUCUUUAGGCUCUAGACAUUUUUAAUGCCUAGGUUAUACGGCUUUCCCAUGAAGGCAAGAGCUGUUGAUGGGUUCACUAAAGUGUUACUCGAAUACUUGACUGUUUAGCGUUAAGUAAUUUGAAGUAAUUUGAGUUUUGAUUACGUUCCAUUAAUCAAUUGUUUAUUUUGCUACCUCGAUGAGGUCGAAGCUUACGAUUUUUUUUUUUUUUUAAAUUGAGGCUUCCUCGAGAAUAAAUAACUAAAUUUCUUUGUGAUUUAUGAGAAAAAUUAACUAUUGAUAUUUUGGCUCGAUUUUUCUUCCACCAUAUCCCUCAUUUGGAAAAAUUCAAAAUGAAACUUUUCAAUAUUUAAUUAGAUUUAAGGUUUUUUUCUUAGUUAAUUAAAUCAUUCACGUGUAGCUUUUUGAUAUUUUAGGUUUCCUCGAGAAUAAAUAACUAAAUUUCUUUGUGAUUUAUGAGAAAAAUUAACUAUUGACAUCUUGGCUCGAUCUUCCACCAUAUCCCUCAUUUGGAAAAAUUCAAAAUGAAACUUUUCAAUAUUUAAUUAGAUUUAAGGUUUUUUUUCUUAGUCAAUUAAAUCAUUCAUGUGUAGCUUUUUGAUUUUUUAGGCUUCAUCAAGAAUAAAUAACUAAAUUUCUUUGUGAUUUAUGAGAAAAAAUAACUAUUGAUAUCUUCGCUCGAUUUUUCUUCCACCAUAUCCCUCACUUCAAGACGAAACUUUUCAAUAUGUAAUUAGAUUUAAGGUUUUUUUCUCGGUCAGUUAAAUCUUUCACGUGUAACUUUUUGAUUUUUUAUGUUCCACGAGGAUCGUCAGCAUUGUGAUCGGGGUGAAUUGGCGAUCAAUAGUGGCUGUGGUGAUGCUGGUGAGAAGGAGGCCCGCUUGAUGCUAGAGUGAAUACUGCCCUCGUACAAGUACUAACGUUAGUACUUCUAAGCACCCAUAGAAGCAUUGCAUAUUAUGUGCAAGGAAGGGAGUGGUCCUAUGCGGUCGAAAUUUUACCACUAGACGUGACGAGUAGACAUCGAAAGAUUUUCAAUCGGAGGGGAAUUGUGGAAACACUUGCUGUAAUGUUUGGGCGGUUAGUUCCAUUUUUUUUUCAAUAUUCACGUUAACUUAUUCCGUGUCUUGCGUUUGUUAAGAUAUUUAGUGUUUACUGCCACAUUUUCUGUUACUAUUACAGCCGAGACGCGACAAACAGGAUUUAUAAAGUAAUAACCUCAGAGGAGCAUUGUGCCGGAGCUGGAGUGAUGCUGACACAUAGGCAGACUGAUCAACUAAGCCAUAUGCCUCGAGUGAGAUUGAUUAUCCCAGACGAUCGCCAAGUAGUGAAAUGAUUUGCCUAUAAGAAGUUGACUUUCUUCUUAUUGUUACUUUGAUCUAUUAUAUCUCUUUAAACAAACUAAUAUAUAGACUUGUGAUAUAAUAGAAAUUGCAUACUUGAUAGAUAAGUCCAUCUCUAUUGGAUUUGAUUAGAAGAGAGAGGUCGGAGAUUCACUUGAUUUUCUUGAUUUACCAUAUUGGUUUCGAUUUAGGACAAAGUCACGAAAAUAUAAGAGAAGCUAAAAAAUUAAAACCACACUCCAAUGCCGUAAAACUGAAACUUCAAAUCCUCCAUUCUUUUAUUCAGUCAAAUUUUGUCCUAACAGAUUUAUGUUUGUUUAUUAAUUAUUUGUUUUUCCCGAUUUAUAAAUUAUGUAAUGGCUUUUUUGCAUUUUUAUCCAAUUUGAGAUGUAGCAAUGCCGUGAAUGAUGGAUAUUUCUAUUUUUUGACUUAACUUCUCAAAUGUCUUUCUCUCAUUUUGUUAGUCCAACAGCUUGCAGAAAGAGAUAAUAAGAAAACCUCGCUAUUAUCCGCAAAAUUAGGAGAUUUUUUUGCAGGGAUAUAUCGGUGAUUCACCUUAUUGCAAUCAUUGUUUGUAUAACACUUAGGAGUUGAUAACUUUGCGAGAGAUUCGACAGAUCUUUAGGCUCUGGACAUUUUUAAUGCCUAGGUUAUACGGCAUUCCCAUGAAGGCAAGAGCUGUUGAUGGGUUCAUUAAAGUGUUAGACUCGAAUACUUGACUGUUUAGCGUUAAGUAAUUUGAAGUAAUUUGAGUUUUGGUUACGUUCCAUUGAUCAAUUGUUUAUUUUGCUACCUCAGUAAGGUCAAAGCUUACGAUUUUAUUUUAUUUUUUUAAAUUGAGGCUUCCUCGAGAACAAAUAACUAAAUUUCUUUGUGAUUUAUGAGAAAAAUUAACUAUUGACAUCUUGGCUCGAUUUUUCUUCCACCAUAUCCCUCAUUUGGAAAAAUUCAAAAUGAAACUUUUCAAUAUUUAAUUAGAUUUAAGGUUUUUUUCUUAGUCAAUUAAAUCAUUCACGUGUAACAUUUUGAUUUUUUAGGCUUUCUCGAGAAUAAAUAACUAAAUUUAUUUGUGAUUUAUGAGAAAAAUUAACUAUUGAUAUAUUCGCUCAAUUUUUCUUCCACCAUAUCCCUCACUUAGAAAAAUUCAAAAUGAAAAUUUUCAAUUUUUAAUUAGAUUUAAGGUUUUUUUCUUAGUCAAUUAAAUCCUUCAUGUGUAGCUUUUUGAUUUUUUAGGCUUCCUCGAGAAUAAAUAACUAAAUUUCUUUGUGAUUUAUGAAAAAAAAAAGUUAACUAUUAACAUCUUCGCUCGAUUUUUCUUCCACCAUAUCCCUCACUUGGAAAUAUUCAAAACGAAAAUUUUCAAUAUUUAAUUAGAUUUAAUGUUUUUUUCUCAGUCAAUUAAAUCUUGUAGCUUUUUGAUUUUUUAUGUUCCACAAUGAUCGUCAGCACUGUGAUUGGGGUGAAUUGGCGAUCAAUGGUGGUUGUGGUGAUGUUGGUGAGAAGGAGGUCCGCUCGAUGCUAGAGUGAGAACUGCCCUCGUACAAGUACUAACGUGAGUACUUUUAUGCACCGCAUAGAAGUAUUGCAUAUUACGUGCAAAGAAGGAAGUGGCCAUAUGCAAUUGAAAUUUUACUAUCGGACGAGAUGAGUAGACAUGGAAAGAUUUUCAAUUGGAGGAGAAUUGUGGAAACACUUACUGUAAUGUUUGGGUGGUUAGUUCCAUUUUUUUAAAUAUUCACAUUAACGCAUUCUGUAUUUUGCGUUUGUUAAGAUGCUUAGUAUUUACUGUCACAUUUUCUAUCACUGUUACAGCCGAGACGCGACAAAUAGGAUUUAUCAAGUAAUAACCUCAGAAAAGCAUUGUGCCCAAGCUGAAGUAAUGCUAACGCAUAGGCAGACUGAUCAACUAAGCCGUAUGCCUCAAGUGAGAUUGGUUAUCCUAGACGAUUACUAAGUAAUGAAAGGAUUUGCUUAUAAGAAGUUGACUUUCUUCUUAUUGUUAUUUUUAUCUAUUAUAUCUCUUUAAACAAACUAAUAUGUAGACUUGGUGAUAUAAUAGAAAUUGCACACUUGAUAGAUAAGUCCAUCUCUAUUUAAUUUGAUUAGAAAAGAGAGGUCGAACAUUCAUUUGAUUUUCUUGAUCUACCAUAUUGGUUUCGAUUUAGGACAAAGUCACAAAAACAUAAAAGAAGUUAAAAAAUUAAAACCACACUCUAGUGCCAUGAAACUGAAACUUCAAAUCCUUCAUUCUUUUAUUCAACCAAAUUUUGUCCCAACCAAUUUAUGUUUAUUUAUUAAUUAUUUGUUUUUCCUGAUUUAUAAAUUAUGUAAUGGCUCUUCUACAUUUUUAUCCAAUUUGGAAAGUAGCAAGGCCGUGAAUGAUAGAUAAUUCUGGUUUUUGGCUUAACUUUCCGAACGUCUUUUUCUCAUUUUGUUAGUCCAACAGCUCCCAGAAGGAGAUAAUGAGAAAGCCUCGCUAUUAUCUGCAAAAGGGAGAGAUUUUUUUUGCGGGAAUAUAUCGGUGAUUCACCCUAUUUCAAUCGGUGUUUGUAUAACACUUGGGAGUUGAUAACUCUGCGAGAGAUUCGACAGACCUCUAGGCUCUGGACAUUUUUUAUGCCUAAGCUAUAUGACUUUCUGAUGAAGGUAAGAACUGUUGAUGAGUUCACUAAAGUGUUGACUUGAAUGCUUGAUUGUUUAGCAUUAAGUAAUUUGAAGUAAUUUGAGUUUUAGUUACGUUCCAUUGAUAAAUUGUUUAUUUUACUACCUCAAUGAGGUCAAAGCUUACGAUUUUUUUUUAAAUUGAGACUUUCUCGAGAAUAAAUAACUAAAUUUCUUUGUGAUUUAUGAGAAAAAUUAACUAUUGACAUCUUUGCUCGAUUUUUCUUUCACCAUAUCCCUCAUUUGGAAAAAUUCAAAAUGAAAAUUUUCAAUAUUUAAUUUAAGGUUUUUUUCUCAGUUAAUUAAAUCAUUCAUGUGUAGCUUUUUGAUUUUUUAGGCUUUCUCAAGAAUAAAUAACUAAAUUUCCUUGUGAUUUAUGAAAAAAAUUAACUAUUGACAUCUUCGCUCGAUUUUUCUUCCGCUAUAUCCCUUACUUAGAAAUAUUCAAAACGAAAUUUUUCAAUAUUUAAUUAGAUUUAAGGUUUUUUUCUUGGUCAAUUAAAUCCUUCACGUAUAGUUUUUUGGUUUUUUAUGUUCCACGAGGACCGUCAGCACUGUGAUUGGGGUGAAUUGGCGAUUGAUGGUAGCUGUGGUGAUGCUGGUGAGAAGGAGGCCCGCUCGAUGCUAGAGUGAAGACUGCCCUCAUACAAGUACUAACGUGAGUACUUUUAUGCACCGCAUAGAAGCAUUGCAUAUUACGUGCAAGGAAGGGAGUGGCCCUAUGCGGUCGAAAUUUUACCACCGAACGAGAUGAGUAGAUAUGGAAAGAUUUUCAAUCGGAGGGGAAUUGUGGAAACACUUGCUGUAAUAUUUGGGCAGUUAAUUCCAUUUUUUUUUCAAUAUUCACGUUAAUUCAUUCUGUGUCUUAUGUUUGUUAAGAUGUUUAGUGUUUAUUGCCACAUUUUCUGUCACUAUUACAGCCAAGACGCGACAAACAUGAUUUAUCAAGUAAUAACCUCAGAGGAGCAUUGUGCCGAAGCUGGAGUAAUGCUAACACAUAGGCAGGUUGAUCAACUAAGCCGUAUGCCUCAAGUGAGAUUGGUUAUCCCAGACGAUCGCCAAGUAGUGAAAGAAUUUGUCUGUUAGAAGUUGACUUUCUUUUUAUUGUUAUUUUUAUCUAUUAUAUCUCUUUAAACAAACUAAUAUGUAGAUUUGUGAUAUAAUAGAAACUGCAUACUUGAUAAAUAAGUCCAUCUCUAUUGGAUUUAAUUAGAAGAGAGAGGUCAGAGAUUCACUUGAUUUUCUUGAUCUAUCAUAUUGAUUUCGAUUUAAGACAAAGCCACGAAAACACCAGAAAAGCUAAAAAAAAUUAAAACCACACUCCAAUGCCGUAAAACUGAAACUUCAAAUCCUCCAUUCUUUUAUUUAGCCAAAUUUUGUCCCAGCCGGUUUAUGUUUGCUUAUUAAUUAUUUAUUUUUCCUGAUUUAUAAAUUAUGUAAUGGCUCUUCUGCAUUUUUAUCCAAUUUGGGAAGCAGCAAUGCCGUGAAUGAUGGAUAUUUCUGGUUUUUGGCUUAACUUCCCGAACGACUUUUUCUCAUUUUGUUAGUCCAACAACAUUAAGUAAUUUGAAGUAAUUUGAGUUUUUAUUACGUUCCAUUGAUCAAUUCUUUAUUUUGCUAUCUCAGUGAGGUCAAUACUUACAAAUUUUUUUUUUUUAAAUUGAGGCUUUAUCAAGAAUAAAUAACUAAAUUUCUUUGUAAUUUAUGAGAAAAAUUAACUAUUGACAUAUUUGCUCGAUUUUUCUUCCACCAUAUCCCUCACUUGGAAAAAUUCAAAACGAAACUUUUCAAUAUUUAAUUAGAUUUAAGGUUUUUUUUUCUCGGUCAAUUAAAUCCUUCACGUGUAGCUUUUGAUUUUUUAUGUUUCACGAGGAUUAUCAGCACUGUGAUUGGGGUGAAUUGGCGAUCGAUAGUGGUUGUGGUGAUGCUGGUGAGAAGGAGGCAUGCUCGAUGCUGGAGUGAAGACUGCCCUCAUACAAGUACUAAUGUGAGUACUUCUAUGCACCACAUAGAAGUAUUGCAUAUUAUAGGGAAGAAGGGAGUAGGGAAGAAGCCAAGUCCUCCCUCCUCUCUUAUACUGGCACCAAUAGAUCCCUUAUUUCAAAACCCUAUUUACAGACAUUUCAAGCUCUUGAAUGGUGAGUUUCUAGCUUUAUUUUAUAUUAGAAUGAUGGGUUUCUUGUUGAUUAGCUAAGUGAUUCUCAAUUCGUAGUUAUGCACCACAUAGAAGCUUUGCAUAUUACAGGAAAGAAUGCAAGUCCUCCCUCCUCUCCUAUACUGGCGUCAGUAGAUCCAAGCCCUAUUUGCAGACACUUGAAGCUUUUCAAGGGUGAGUUUCUAGCUUCCUUUUCUAUUAUAAUGAUGGGUUUCUGAUUGAUUAGCUGAGUGAUUCUCAAUUCAUAGUUAUGCACCACAUAGAAUUAUUGCAUAUUACAGAGAAGAAUGCAAGUCCUCCCUUCUCUCCUAUACUAGCACCAUCAAAUCCAAGCCCCAUUUAUAGACACUUCAAGCUCUUUAAGGAUGAGUUUCUAGCUUUUUUUGUUGUUAGAAUGAUGGGUUUCUUCUUUAUUAGCUGAGUGAUUCUCAAUUCGUUAUGGCAGUUAUGCACCACAUAGAUGCAUUGCAUAUUAUAGGGAAGAAGGCAUUACAUUUAUGAUUAGGUACGUUGCUCUUAGUCAUCCAUUUGUAUUUAUAUUUUACUAAUUUGGCCAUUUUUUUUUUAUAUAGAUGCAGUAACCACCAUACAUCAUGCCGCCAGAGAUUAUGAGUGGAUUUAGCCCAUUUCCUGAUGAGUUAUUUAAUAGUUUGGUAUAUUAAUUUAGUUACAUUUUGCUAAUGAGAUUGUUUAUUAUAUAUAGAUGCGACCAUCAUAUGUCAUGCCAUUAGGGAUUAUGAAUGGAUUUUCUCCAUUCACUAAUCGGAUGCUAUUUUGCAAUUGUAGUACAUCAUAGUGCUAUUUCAUCUUAUUGUUACUACUGUAAUAUUCAUUAUUUAUGGUUUCUUUUGGAUAGAUGUUGGAGUACCAUAAUGGACCUCACGGGACCAUUUUGAGUUAGGAACAACUUGUGUUUUCUCUCAUGGGAUUAUUUGAGACAUUUUUAUCUUGGCAUUUAUUUAGUAAACAUAAAUAAAUUGAUUUUUCCUUUGUAUAGUGAUCAUCAAACUCUUUUUAGCAUCUUGGGAUAAAUGAAUUGAAUGAUUUCAUAGGAACACAAAUAAAUAAUCUGAAGUAAUGAUAUAGGACUCUUAUCUAUCGCAUUGUGAUGCUUCUUGUGGUAAGAUUAGCAUUGCCGAUGUUGGAAGUGACAUUGAGCUUCUUGGUCUGGUCUUAGCAAUUGUAAAGCCCGGUAUGUUAUCAUUUCAUAUUUGAUGUGGCUUUUGUUCACUUGUUGGGAUGCGGGGUUGGUGGGACAUUUUGAUUCUUGUUAUAAAUCCACAGAAAUGGGGUCGUAAUUUGUUCAAGAUGCAAGAGAAAGUGUUAUUGCUAUAACUACCUUGAAAAGUGGUAUAAUAUAUCAAGUUAUUCUAUUCAAACAAAGAGUAGCUGCAUGUAUUAAGUAAAUCAAAAUUAGCAAGCUUCUUUUGUAUUGCAUUAAGUUCAAGGGAAUAAUCAUUUUAUUAUUGAAUAGGUACGCGGGGAAAAGUAAACAAGACAUGGAGACGGAAUGCCCAUUUUGCCGUGGCCAUUGCAAUUGUACAAGAUGCCUCAGGUUGGUUUACUAGCGGUGAUUGCCUAUUUUGCCAAAAUGCAUAGCCCACCAAAGCAUAAGCCCAGCCCAAGCCCGCCUGAGUUCAGUUACAGCCCGUCGGAGAGUCUCAGGCCCUGUGCGCCCAAGCUCGCCCCAGCCCGCCCCUCUACUCACCCCGCAUUAGGCACCUGUUGGUGCCGCCUAAGGCCCACGUCUACGCGGUCUAGACUCGAUAAUCCAGGUGACCAUGGACUAUGUGUGCGGGGCAGGUGCUAGCUGCAAACCCAUCCAGCCUAGCGAAACCUAAUACAAGCUAGACACGCUGCUGGCGGACGCCUCCUACACCUUCAACAGCUACUGGUAGAAGAGGAAGGAGUCCGAAGAGACGUGUGACUUUGGAGGAACGGCGAUGCUAGUCACUGUGGAUUCAAGUAAGUGCAUUACCACCACCAUCUGCUAUAUUGCAAAGCAAAAACAUCAACAUGAAUAUGAGAUAAUGUCCGAAAUUUGGGUCUUCUUUCUAUCUCAUGGUUCAUACGCAUUGUUUUUGUGGCGGGUUACAAUGGAUGUCACUUUGAUAUCAUCUAAAAUCCUUUCCUGCUGAAGGCCUUGUAAAACAUAAAGCUCAGUCCUCCUCAUUCCCAAUGUGCAUUGUGCUCAUGAGUCUUGCCAUAAAGAAUUUUGUAAUUAGCUACAUAUGGCUAUUGCUUGGAAAUUAUGCAUAGACAUGGUUUACAUCUAAUUAUGAAAUGAAAAUGGGGCUUAUACAUGAGCUGGUACAUAAUAUAUCCGAAACUCUUUUAAUAUUGAAAGAAAUUCCCGUCUUUUGAAAGGGGACCUCAUUUCCAAAUAUCGUCAAUAUAAUACAAAGACAUUUUUAUAUGUUGCACGAUGAAUUGCAACUAAAUCCAUCCUCAUCAACGCAUAGCUAUACAACUCGAACGAGGUGAAGAACUCAGAAGUUAGUGAUUUAAAAACCAAUGAGCUCCAUGAGUUCCGAAUAAAUUGAGAAAAGUAUUUUGUGUAUCGAACAUGACAAUCAUACUUAAAAGAAAUAAAUUACUAAUAACUAAGAAUUCAAAAUUCAAACAUGAAAUUGGUCGAAUGCCUGUCACUCAAGUAAUAUGAUUAAUCGAUAAUAACACAUUGAUGUACAAAUUUUUAUAUUUUCAGAGAAAAAAUAAGAAACCUAAAUUAGUUAAAGCAAGGAUUUGUUCAAAAUUUCAAGAAGCAGGGGAGGUUGACGGAAUUUUUUAUCGAAAUUUCAAGAAUUUGGCCAUUGUCGUGCCGAUUAUGCCAUGGCCAUUGAAAACUAGCUCAUUGCCCAAAUAGCUAGAACUCAGCUAUAUUCAAUAAGCAAAAGGUUGGUUUACUAGUGGUGAUGAUGAUUAGCAAUAAUCUCAUUUUCAUGUAAAUAAUUCAAAAUUUUAGAGGCAGAAAUUACUGUUUCAAUGCCGCCAAAUGAACAACUUACAGCUGAAAAAAGGUCUAUAUUUAGCAACAUCUUUUCUUUUCAGUGGCAUUGGAAAAUAUGCAAUAGCAAAAUAAACUUAGUGAUAUGCCAACAUAAAGGCUCACUUCAUUCAUCCCGCAAACAAAAUGCACAUAUAUUUACAAAACAUAUUAAACUCAUAAACAACUUAACCAACAUCUUCAAAUUUGCCAAAUCUCAAAAGAUGUCAAGUUUUAAAGCUAAAAUUAUCAUAAACAACAACACAACCAACAUUUUCAAUCUUUCUUUAGAUUUGCCAAAUCUUGUUUCAAUUUUGCAUUGAGAGCCUUGUCUUCAACAUCCAUUGAACAACCCCCAUCCUCAUUGUGGGUUGACAUUUGUUUUUGUUCAACAUUGCUUGGACAAAAAAUUUUGGACACACUCCUUACCGAUUGAUUGAUUUCCUUAUCAAUCCAAAUAACAAAAUUUACAACUUUAUCAUCUAUUGUAGUGGUUGUAUUUUGGGCGGUUGUAGUAUAUUUUCCCUUGUCCUUCGACCUUACCGUUUGUAAAUGACAUUUUAGGCCACAAUAGCAAAAUACGGACGUAUCGUUGUUGAUUGGAGGAGUUGACAUAAUUGAUUGUGAUGAAUAUUCUGCAAAAAAAAAAAAAAAAAUGAGAAUAGCAUCAGAUUUAAGAGAAUCCAAAGGGACACUUUGCAGGAAUCCAUUGAUUAAAGUUCAUAAUUAGAAAAUGUUCAUUAAUUAUUAAAACUUAUACAUGAAGAAGUACAUGAAAGUGCUUUUUCUAAAGUCAUGAUAUUGCUAUAGAAUAUGGAGUUUGGUUUAGGAAGUAUUCAGCGAAAUAUAUUCUAAUAUUUUUUUAACAAUAGUCACUAAAGCCUUACCAAAUGAACAGCUAUAUUCAAAGCUUAAAACAUAAGUCACAUAGCUGAACUAUCUUCAAGUUUCGAAUGACAACUGCAAUUAAGGAGUCUUCAACAUUUCUACCACCUUUUAGGAGCUUCCUCAAAGAGCAAUCAACCUGGAGAUCAACAAUUAAAACAAUAUUGCAUCUUAUUAGAAUCUUCUAGGAAAAAUAUCCAUUCUUUAACCCAAAGAGAAAGUAAAUAAGAUGCAUUCCCUUCGCAAAUCAUCAAACAGCUAAAAGCACUAACCUAUAUCUUGGUAAUUGUUACAAAGAUGACAAGUUCCUAAAAAUACUUAUAGUGGAUUUCUGUCACUUAAAAUGCAUUAUGACAAGAAUUCAAGCAUAAAUCUCACUAAUGCAAGAUGAUGUUUUAAUAAAGUUAAAAAUUUGAGGAUACUAUGAAUAAUCUUCGAGUAGACAAAGCUUGAUCUAAUUAACAAUAACAAGGGAUAUGUCUCUUUGAACAUAAAUUUGCUCCUUGUCAGUCAGUCCUUAAAAUGACAAUUGUUUAAUAAGUCAUUCAGAGAUUCAAAAUGAAUAAAUAGAAGCAUUGAAGUGUCAAUUCGUGCAAUUUCACUUACCUUAACAACUGAGGCUUCAGUUGCAAACUUCUUUCCUAACUUUUUCAAAGCAUCACUAAGUUUGAUGCCAAAGAUGAGACACCUAGUAAAUUGACUUACAAACUUUACCUUAAUGAUGAAUUAUGAGCCACCAACAAUGAAUGUAAAAUGAGGAAAAUCAUAUUAUUAAAAGUACCGUCAAAUGAACAAUUUACAACAUAUUUUUCCCCUCAAAGAAAAACAUUAAUCAACCAAUUCACCCGUCAAGUGCCAAGCUACCAAAGUAGCACCCAACCUUCGCGUAGUCUUGUGCCACUAUGUACCCACCUAGGAGUCAAUAAGUGAUAAAAUCAUGUCUAUGCUCUUAAAACCCUAUUCCCUCAAUAUUUUCUCGAUGUCUAGGUCUCGGAUCUGUUCAAUUUGUCAGCAAGCAGAGAUAAUUUCAUCUCAACCCAUCCCCCAACCAAAAACAAUGCGAUCAAAUUUUACAAUUACGCAAUUCCGGGUUUAUCCCGAAAAUCCAUCUCCAUAAUUAGGAGGGGAUUAAAAAAUCCAACCCUUGCAAAAGGUAUUAUUACCCAUUUCCCUCCUUUCAAUAUUCCGCACUCGAACUGCUACAUGUAUAUCUCUUGAAAAAUUUUCGAUUAACUCCUCCCAUGUAUUGUAAAGCUGAGCAUGGCAUUCCUCAAAAAGCAAAGGUUCAAAUACUCAGAUAUACUCUUCUACAAACUCAAAUCGAUCGAGAACAUAUUGUACAUCAGUCUCCCCCGGAACAUAAGAAGCCACAUCAUCUUUUACACAUAAGUGAACCAGCAAGGAAUCAAACACAUAACUAAGCUAAUUGAAAGAAAUAUCAUCACCUGUAGAAACAGACAAGACAUUAUAGGCUAAUAAAAAUUGAUAUCACCAUCUACAAUACGACUAAAUACCAAUAAAAGAACAUGCAUUUGGACCAAGAUAUUCCAAGCCCCUUCUAAACUCAAAUCCAUGUUCUCAAGGGCUACAAUAUGUAAGUAAAUGAAUGGAUGAUCAUACAGAAGUCUCAUGCUAGCUAAAGAAAGGGUUGGAAUUUAUAUGUAGAAAGGUUAACUCUAAUCUAGAUAUCACAAAUAUGCCAAAAACUCCCAUGAAUAGGAAAUAUCUAGAUCUAAAUCACUUCAAUAAUAUAUGAAAUCCUAACAUCCAACUAACUCUUAUACUCAUUACAUGUUUCAAAUUACAAGUAACGACUUGGCCUUUAGCCACCCCAUUCCAAUCGUCUCUAUUAAACCAGUUGAACCAGGUUGAUUUCGGUUUGAUACAAUAUUGGUCACAUAUGGAUAAGUAGGCAAAGCCAGACUUGACUAUGAACUAAUUUUCUACCCAACGGCCAAACCAGCCCCUUGAUUUCAACUGUAAACUUUACAACAACUUUGCACAAAAAAAAUGAACCUUCAAUAUUGAAAAAGGACGACUCAUGUCUAUACUCUUAAAAUCCCAUUCCCCCAAUAUUUUCUCAGUGUCUAGAUCUUGGAUCUAUCCAAUCUAUUAGCAAGCAGAGAUAGUUUCACCUCAACCCAUUCCCCGACCAAAAACAACACGGUCAAAUUUCAGAAUUAUGCAAUUUUGGGUUUAUCCCGAAAAUCUAUAUCCAUAAUCAGGAGGGGAUUAAAAAAAUCCAGUCCUUGCAAUUGUUUUUGUUAGCAAAUUGCAUUAUGUUCUUUUUACAGAGAGAGGGGGAGAACUCUAAGCAGUACGAAGCAAAGAAACUACAAGAAGAAUCCAAGAAAAGAAACAAAAAAAAAAAUUGAAACCCCCUUUUUUGUCACACCAUCAGAGAGAGAGAGAGAGAGAGAGAGAGAGAGAGAGAGAGAGAGAGAGAGAAAGAGAGAAUAAUGGCCCAAAGCACAGAGCACUGCAUGCUCAAAUCCACACAGCAAAUUAGGAGGAGGGAGAAAAGCAAAAGCAAGAAAUGACCUUAACGUUGGAGAGGAGGAUUGGGGACUCGAGGAAGGAGGUCGAGUUGAGCCCCGGUGAGAUCGUGAUACCAGUGGACCAAGAUAUCGAUAGGCCAAUGGAAGAGGGGGAGGGUCAGGCACGAACGUUCCAAUGUGUAAAACGAGUCGGGGCUAGAUCAGGAGCCGAAGGAGCGGCAUAGUGGUUUACCAGUCAGAGAGAGGAAGAGUAAAGAGACAUGCGAAGAGAGAGAGAGCAACGGAUGGACAAGCCGGGCCCAGAUUCGAAGCUAUAGGGGCAGCGCGAUGGUUUGCUAAUCAUGUGCAGUGGUUCGCUAGUCAGAGAGAGGGAGGGCAGAGAAAGACGCGAAGAGAGAGAAAGAGCAACGCACGAUCUCUAGAAAAGAAGAAAUCCUACUUUUUUAGUUAUAGCAUGCACCAAAAUUUUCAAAAUUUUAGUUCAGCUUGUGGGUCCCACAAAAGGACAUGUGUUGCCUUCUCAACGCCUUGCUAUUUGCCACGCUGGAACGUUAGACAUACGCAAUAUUUUCCCCAACGACAUCUAGCUUUCUUUGGUUGUUAAGGGUGCGUUUGAUUAUUAUUCUAUUUCCGAGAACAAUUUUUGAGCAAAAGAAUACAUUUAGUAACUGUACAAAAUUUCUGAUUCUAGAAUAGAAAAAGAAUAAAAAUGCAUUUGGUAAUUACAUGAAAUUCUAUUGAUUAAUUAUAUUUAACUAAGUAAUAAACAUAUUAACUAAUCAAAUUUUUAUUAAAUAGUAAAUAAUAAACUAUAGUAUAAACUAUAAAUAUAAAUAAUAAAUAAUAAAUUAAAUACAAAAUUAAAUAUGUAUUCUAUAUAUAGCAAAAUUUAAAUUCCUACUUCAAAUCAUUUUUUUAUUUUUUAAAUAAUUUUAUUGGUUUUUUUUUCUUUUUUUCCUUUCUUCCUUCCCUUCUUCUUCUUCUUCUUCUUCUUCUUCUUCUUCAAGGUGGCCGGUCGCCAGCCUUGGGACAAUCGGCAACUGGCCAGACGAGGGCCGACGACCUCACCGGAGCGUCACCGACCCUCGGCGAGGCCGUGCCUCAUUGACCGAGCCUCGUCGGCAGCUGGGCAAGCUCGACCUCACCAGAUCUAGGUGAGGUCGAGCCUCACCCAACCUCGCCUGGCCAGGGAAGGCCUGCCUAGCCACCGGUGAGGCACUGGCAAGCUCGCUAGGCCUCACCGAAGGCUGGGCGAGCUCGCCAGUGACCGGCGGCAGUGGGCGGCGAACUAUGGUGUUCGGCGGGUGGCGGCGGCGGCAGCAGGCGGUGAACGGUGGCAUUCGGCAGGGGGUGGCGACGACGGUAGACGGCAAUGGCAGUGGUAGCGGCACUUGAAGAACAAGAGAGAGAAAAAGAAUAAGAAGAAAGAUGAGGAAAAAGAAAAAAUUAAGUAGACUUGAUUCUAGAAUUGUUCCCGAGAACAAAGAAUCAACUUUUUUUUUUUAUUCUUGAUUCUACUCCAAAUUUGUUCCUGGGAACAAAAUUUUUACCAAACGUGAUUCUAUUCCAAACUACUCCUAGGAACAACAAAAAUAGAAAUAAACACUGUUUGGCCGGUUACAAAACAUGCCCUAACCAUCUAGAAAAAAUGAUAGAAAUCAAGGAAACACAUUUAUGACAAGAAGGUGAUUGAAUGAAAGAUCCCCCACGUGCUUGUCAUGUGUAUCGUCAGUCACCAUCAUUAAUAUGUAAUGAAACCUCAUUAGGAAUCCUAGUGAAUUAAAUUCCUAGGCUAAUGUUAAUGUUGUUGAGUAUAUAGCUGUGGCUUUGAGAGCUUCAUUUACUUUGUCACACCAGCGAAUCAAGAAGACGAAAUACGGCUUGGGAGAUGGGUACGAAUAAAGCAGGAGGUUCCGUUCAAGUGUCGAUUGGAGUGGUGUGCAUUUCGUUUCUCUUCAUGUCUGGUGACAAAUCUCUACAUCUUCAGUAAAAUCAUUGCUGAAAUUAACAAAGUUUCCUUCCAUUGGAGCUACGAAAGGGUCCAUCCUAAGAUGACCUACCGACCGACCCACCAACCUGGUUUUAUAGUCUGAGCUAGGAACAAGUUCGUGUGGAAUAUCUGAGUGAGCUCAGGAUUGCAGGUCCAAUUGAGCAAAUGUUUCUAUACAAAUCUGCGGUCUCGUCGUUAAUGCACAUGGAGGUUCGAACUUUUUUAAGGAUGUCCUACUUUACACCAGCGAGAAGUGUCUAGAGAUAAUCGGAUCGGGCUACGCCCUUUUUGGCGGGACAAAAUUCGAUGUAAUCAUAAAAAUUACUUCCUCUUUCCGUUGAAAAUUUAAAAGAACAAUCAUGAUGAGUUUCAUAUUGAUUAUGCAGGAAGCGUGCUAGGGUGGCUGCCGCCAGUAGUACCGGGGUGCUUAGGCCCGUGCUCAAACUUCCCGGACUGCAACGAGGCAUGCAAACAAGCCGGUCAUAGAAGCGGCAGGAUCUGCUUCAAGUUCCCGCCAAAGAGUCUUCUGUCUUGUUGCUGCUCUGGAUGAUCAUUAACCCUCUGGACAUAGUCAAGGUGUGUAUGUUCUCUUUUUUAAUGGUGACUGGCAAAUAAAAUUUCAACGAUAGAAUUUGAUCCCCACACUCGACUCUUUGUUAAUGAUCAUUCUGGACCUGCAGAAACAAAAAUGGGAAAAUACUGAAUGCAUGUUCAUUUGAGUUUUUCUAAGACAAUCAGCAGCACGAUCGAAACUGUGAGUCCCUGAGUUCUAUCAAGAACUUGAGGGAAAACUGGCAAGAAGACAAAACCUUGCCCAAAAUUGUGAUAGGUUGAAGUACCAUUUGAAUUUUUCUAUUUGGGUCGCUAGAUUAAGUGAAAAAACUUCGAACUGCACUGCCAAACCAGUGCACCUCCUAGUGAACAUACUCUGAAAGCUUGACAAAAUGAUGUAGACCGACUGACUAGUGCUGUUAAAACUUUAAAGUCGCACAGUCAAAAGCAGUACUAAUUUAGCCGUAGUCGCAACAAGCAUUACCUGCAAUAUAAUCUUUUCAAGAUGUAUUACGACAUAGAUUCACAAAAUGACAAGGGGAAAAGAGAGAAACGAAAAGGAUCUGGGAACUUCAUUGUUAUUGCUUCUCAUAUGAACAAGAAGGCCACAAAUACACGAGUCACCUCGAUAGCUGCAUGUUCCUUUAAAUGUCAUUAUCUCACGACAGAAAAAGAUGAGUUAUAAGCACUAACAUGAGGAGAUUAUUUAUUAGCAUCCAACACCAAUCCAAGUCUUCCAUACUGAUAAUGCACCUCAAGCUCUCUCCCUUCACCAUCAAAUCAAAAGCUUUAUUGAUUUCAGAGAAAGGCACUCGGUGAGUAAUAAACUUAUCGAACUCCAGUUUCUGUAGGAAAAGAUGAGAGAACUUUCGGUUGAUGAUGUGUUACCUGCUGUCCAUGAGUCAAUGACAGAAAAAUAAAAGGGAAGAAGUAAGAAAACUUGGACGCUAGUCUUUUACGUUGUUCAAGUACAUGUCAACAACAGGAGGGAGAUCACUCCGAGGUUUGUAGUUCCCAAAAAAUGUCCCCUUGAGCGUUCUUUCGUUGAGACAUGAAUGGGCAUUGUCAUGAAAACUGCAUCUUUGUUGGGGACUCCUACCAGCACAGCCACACUCCAUCCCUGCAAUUGCAAGAAUCACAAAGCAAAAGAUUGGUAGACAACUGAAGUCAAUUGACUAGUAUCGGAGGUAGGGUCGCAAUUCGUGUUCGCGGACAUGAUAGUGUCAGGUUGACAUAGGUCAACCUGAACAUGACAUAAAUAAUUAAUUGUGUCUGUCUACUUACGAUGAACACGAUCUGAAUAAUUUACGGGCAUGACCGUUAUGACGAAAUCAGCCCAUAAAUGUGAAACUGACACGAAACAUUCUCAAUUUUUUAUAAAUUUUAUUGACAAAAUGCAAUAAUCCAUCAACAAAAUAUCAUCAAACCAAAUUAAAAACAUGGUUAUAGUCAAUCAUAUCAUCAAUUUAAAAUCUUACUAGUGAAUAGCAUCGAAACCGUGUCUUUUAGCUAAUCAUGUCUAUUUGGGUCACAUAUCGUGUUAACAUUAGCCAGUUAAUUUAAAUGGGUCAUAUGAAUCAAUUUCAUGUUUGGCAAAUUGGACAAGAGUUAUGUCUCGUGAGAUGACACGAAAUUGACCCGAAUGUGAUUAAUCGCAACUCUAUCCCACUCACUUCGUGUUGUGUUCAAAUUGUGUAAUCGUGUGGCCUCAAUAAGUGCCGCCCCUAAUUAGAGGUCUGACAGAAGACGAGGGCUUGGGCUUGAGCAUUAAAAUGGUUUCGCCACUCAUCAGUUUCCAUGGAUGCAAUUUUGACAAAAUAAAUGAUCAGAGAAAUGCCUAGAACAGAAAAUGCCGCGGCGGUUGUCCUACUUACAUCAUGAACAUAUUCAAGAGCAGAAACCAUGGACAUUGAUGCUGCCAGUGCACUCCACACCCCUGUCAACACCACCAUUAGUCAUUUCAGUAAUAACUUGCACUCAAAGGAAGUCAAGUAAAAUCGAUUGGAAAAGCCCCUCUUUCUCAUACAUUUGGCCGAUGAACGAUAAAUAAGUAUAACCAUCUUAGAUGAAUUUCUGAUUAUCAAUAGAUUUUAGGAGGUCACGAGUUUGAAUCAUGCCAUGAGUGAAUCUCUAGACCGCAUGUGCCUACUCGAAGAGACAUUUCCUACCUUAUGUGAAGAAACAUUCUGAAUUUUGGUACACUGAUGGGACUACAGUGAUGAACUUACAUACUUAUAGGUAAGAUGAGUAAUUAUGAUUCCUUAUGGUGACGCCUAGCCUAGGUAGUUGCAUCAACCGUUCCUCCCCAUCCUUUUACCCAUAAAAGGGGGAAGAACUUCUCCGUCAUGGCUAGCAGACAGUCGUCCCGAUUCUAACAAUCCCACUGCGGAGGUUUGAUUGCCAUCCUUGGUCAAUGUCAAGGUAAAGCCAUGAGCAAGUGGUUGUCGAUCACGGCUCAGAAAGAAAUCCUGAUCAAUUCAAAACGGUCAUCGGAAAGUUGGGUCGGAGAGAAAUGGAAGAAAAAAUAAAAGCGUGGAGGGCCGAAAUCGAAAAAAAAAGAGGCCGCAAUGCUUAAUGCAUGAAGGCUCUAAACGAGCUUUUGGGAUAGUACUUGCGCUGCUUAAUACUUCACAUCAAUUGAUAUGGAUGGUUAUCAACAGAUAUGCAAAAUUCAUGUCUUCGAACAAAUCUACAUUUUGUUCAAGUAAUUUUAUGUGAAUAUUUUUAAAUUACAUAAUUUAAUCUCGAAACGAGAAAAACGAGAAAUUUUCCUAAAGAUAUUGAACUUCUGAACCUUAGCCCAAUUUCGAACCUAGGCCCAUUACUCUCCAUUCGAGGGCAGAAUGCAUGCCUCUCUCGUUUGCAAAUUUGCUCUGUAACAGUUUCCGUGGCUAAUCAGAUUUCCGAACUACAUGUUGAAAUUUUUAAAUUGGGUCAAGAAAUUUUCAAAGCAAGCACCAAUCCAAUGAAUAAAAUCACAAGUCCAACCGAAAAUUUUCAUGUGUCAUCGGUCCGACUCAUGCUAGUAUGAAAAACAGCGUGUUUGGGAGAGAUUUAAGAAAAUGCCUUCACAUAAAUACAAAGGACUUUAGGAUAAAAGAUUUUGAUGAAAUGCAAAUGAUUAAAAUAUGAAAAAGGAAACCUUAGCUCAGCGGCGUCUGAGGGUUGCGGAUCAGGCGCCGUUCCAUUAAAGGUCACAUGCCGACAACGGAUCCAACUUACCGGGGGUCAGAUUUGGGCUCGUCCACCACGUCGUGCAAGUUUGCCUAGAUAAAAUGGUGAGGGCAAAUCUAAAACUUAGAUAUUUUAGUGAGGCCAAAGUAGGAAAAAAGAAAAUCUAACAAUUCGAAAAUGCUCAAACCAAUAAGUGGAUAGGUUUCUGACAAAAAAAAAAUGAAUAGGACUUGCAUUGGGCUAAAAGCUUUUAGAAAUGCUAAUUUUGAUUAUGACGCCUUUAAAAUUUUCUUGCCAAACAUAUCAAUUUUGGUUCAAUGUCUUCAUAGGUCUAAAGCCCAUUUUAAAUGAUAUGUGAACCGCAGCCUAGGUCCCUUUAUAAAUUAGAAAUAUCUAUCUAUAUAAUUCGAAAUAAAACUCUUACUCGAUAUAUGUUGAACACCCCAAUCUUGGUGGAAAGGAAAUUUGACUGGGUUUCAAAUCCCCUUCAAGCCUUUUGGACGUCAUUAUGUUUUGAAGGCCACUUGAUAUAUUAUGGCAAUCCAACCGUUUGAAAUUGAAAGAAUUAUCACCGAUCAAAAAAAAAAAAAUGACACCUUAAUCUUCUCUUCACUUAUACAAACAAAGAUUCUAAUAUAUCUCGAUACCUUAUGAUUAUGUUUGGUCAUCUAGAUUUCUAACUAAAAUAAGAUUACAGGAGAUAGGAUAUGAAUCCAAAGAUUUUGCUAUAUCAUAUUCAUUAUUUUGUGAAUCAUAAUAAUAAAAUCUAAUAUACUCACAUCAUAUCAUAUACUUUUUUUUGGAUAUAAACAACGUAUCAAUGUAAAUGAACAUAAAAAUUUAUGGAGAUGAUAAAAAAUCUCUUGUGACACUAUUCCCUAAUUUAUUUUUAUUUUAUUUUUCCUGUCUUUUUAAUUAUUUUAGUUAUUAUUAUUUUUCCCCUUCCAUCACUUUCUAAUGAAAAAUUAUUAAAUAGUAAACUAUACUAAUAUACAUAAAAUACCAAACUACCUAAAUAUGUAUUAAAUAUAAAUAUAUAUUUAUAUUUAUAUAUUGAAUUUACAUCAUAAAAUAGAAUUAAAGUCAAAUGUAUAAAUUAAAAAGAUUAAAUUAUAAUAUGUAGUAAAUAUAAAUUUGUUCUUUUGAAUUUCUUAUAUUAUAAUUCAAAUACUAUUUAUAUUGAAAUUUUGUUAAUUUAAUAAGUUUUUUAUUAAAAAAAAAAACUUUCCUAUUAUGGAUAUUAUAAAUCAUAUUCACAUUUAUCUCACUUCUCUCAUGGAUUAAUUUAAUUCAACCUAUAUCCCGUUUAUAUCCAACUUUAUCUUAUCUUAAGUAAGCACCAAACGCGGAAUUUAAUAAAUUUUAUCAUAUUUCAAAUUUUAUCUUUACUACUAAAUGCAACCUAAUAGUUCUUUAAAAAAUCAAAUGAUAUCUAGUGAAAAAUACAAAUAUGAUUUUUUUCGUUGAUUCGUUCUUUGAAAGCCCAACAAAAAAGCUUUUGUUGGAAUUCAAAUGACUUUUUUCUGUAAAGGAAGUUUCUGUUUCUUUUCCAAUAAGUAAAUUUUGUAAAAAAUCAAAAUCAUCUCUGAAGUACAUAAAUUAAAGCAUAGAGAUGCUCCUAUAGUACUAUAUUUUCGUACCAUAAAAAGUUUUAUAAAAGCUUACGACAUGACUGCAACACGCGGCUUAAUAACUCUCUCAAAAAUCGAAUGAUAUCUCAGUGAAAAAUGCAAAUUUGAUUUUUUUCAUUGAUUAAUUCUUUUAAAGCCCAACGAAAAAGAGUUUGUCGAAAUUCAAAUGACUUCACUCUUUUCUAUAAAGUUGGUUUCUAUUUCUUUUCCGAUAAGUAAAUUUUGCAAAAAGGCAAAAUCAUCUAUGAAUUACAUAUGUUGAAGCAUAGAGAUUCUCCCAUGGUACCACAUUUUUGUACCAAAAAAAGUUUUACAAAAACUCACAACAUACUAUCCAAUGCAGCCUAAUAAUUCUUUCAAAAAUCAAAUGAUAACUCAGUGAAAAUUGCAAAUACGAUUUUUUUUCAUUGAUUCGUUCUUUAAAGCCCAACGAAAAAGCAUUUGUUGGAAUUCAAAUGACUUCACUCUUUUCUAUAAAGUUAGUUUCUAUUUCUUUUCCAAUGAGUAAAUUUUGCAAAAAACCAGAUUCAUCUCUGAAGUACAUAGGUUGAAGCAUAGAGAUGCUCUUAUAGUACUGCAUUUUCGUACGAAAACUAGUUUAACAAAAGCUCACAAUAUGACCCCUUAAAUCAUCAAUUAAUCUAUUCUACAUUAGCCUAAAUUAAGGGAUAAUCAACCAAGAUCAAAAAAUCAACCAUCAAAAGUCCGUCAACUCUCUAGAUUCAAAAUAGCCGGAAAAUCUUGCGGAUAUUCGCAUAUGCCCGACAUUACUAUCAUUAUUAUUUUUUUUGCCCUAGUCGACCAUACAUUGUAGGACCCCCUUGGAUCAAAGUGAAUAUGGCUUAAAGUAAUUCAAAUCUCCAUUUCAAUCCUAUCCAUGGUGGGGAUCCUAUGUUUUGUCACAAAUAAUUGAGAUUUGGCUAAUGAUUGCAACACCCCCCCCCCCCACCCCCUCUUUCUCCCUCCAUCGUUCAGCCGCGUGCACCAUGACCCCUCUCCAAAGAUUUUAUUCCCACUACUUCAUGAAUCAUCGCCUAUAAAGUCUUUGCCCUGGCCCCGCCUAACUUUGACUAUAAUUGGAGGAAAAAUCUCCUAAUUUUGACGAGAGUCGAGGAUUUUAGAAGGGUGGCCGCUAUAUAAUUAGAUGCGAUAGAGAGCACGUUCUUUAGGACUUUUGAAAGUAAGCCUGAUCUCAGAUGCCGAGUACCAAUUAGACUUGGAUCGAAAGCCUAUCGAGCUGAUGAAAUCUUCAUAGAGGUCAGCAGUAAAGAGGAGUUAUGUUUGAAGCCAUCAACGAUCAGAAGUUAGUUGACUUGAUAAUUCGAACUUUUUCGUCGAUGUCUUUGUUAUAAUGUUUGGAUAGAGUGAUGGAGUUAUGUAGCCUGAUAAAAGAAAAUAAUAUUUGAGUGCACAAAUAAUUUGUUGUGAGUAAAUACAUUUCAGUAGGUUGCACAUUCUAUCAUAUUAAAACCGAUGAGGCAUUUAGUAUAAUAAACUCAUGCAAUAUAUAGGGGCAAUAUCUUAUUUGGAAUUUUAGAGUUUGUAAUGCUGAUAUUGAUAAUAGAGAGAGUGCUUAGUGCAAUAACAUGAUUUUUCAUGUAAAUAUUCUUCUUUAUUUUUCCUCUUUAUAUUUUCCUUCAAAGAUUCAUAUUCUUAAUGUAUAAUAUCUAGGAAAACCCAAAAGGUGGAUUUAUAAUUUUUGAGUAAAUAAAAGUAGGGUUAAUACCAAACGCUAAUAUUAGAAAUAAUUAGUGUGCUGCAAAAGUUUAUUAGCAUUUCCAUAAAGGGAAAAUUAUAAUAUAAAUGCGGGUCGUUGAAAAGGAGGAGGGGGGACCAACGCCAAGGCUCAGCCACUAAUAAAGCUGUUUGCUUCAAGACAGUAUGUCUGCCACAAAUCAGACAAGAGUCGUCAUAACGUCUCGCUAGCCGUUUAUUUUCUUUUUCUUUUUUUCCUUUUUUGUCAUUUUCUCUAUUGCCACAAAAAAUAUUUUUUACUUAAUUGUAAUUAACCUCUCCAAGACCCCCAACAAAUAAUAAUAAUAAUAAUAAUAAUAAUUUUGAAAAAUUGAAGACAGCCGAGUACAGCGGCGGAAGAGCCGUUGGGAACGUGAUGGAUUGGUCCUUUGUUCGUGACACGACGUGACCUGCGGUAGACGUUAGAGGCAAUUUCAGAGCAGAAGUCACAUAUUUGGUUCAAGAGAUUUCCUAGAAUUACGGCAUUUUUAGUGUAUGAUCAAGGGAAUAGGAUACAAAUGAUUCAUAAAUUCUGAUAUAAUAUAUAAUAUGGUCUAUAAAUUUUUAGUUUAUUUUAACGAAGAUCCUGAUUUUUUUAAAAAUCUGUUCAAUCUAGCCGCAAACUAAAUGAAUGUUGUGUUUGAAUUUAAAUUUAUGAAAAAAAAAUAUUAAACAUCUUUUUACAAUCUAGAGAUUCAAUUGAAUAUUUAGUAAAAGUUUAGAGACUUUAUUCCAUAAUGAAUAAAAUAAAAAGUUAAAGAUUAUUUAUAUCACUAUCCAUUUAAUUACUAUGUUUACUGUGUUAAGUUUUAUUACUUACUAAGGUGUCAUGAAAAACUUUAUGCUAAUAUAUUUAUGACAAAUUUAUCCCAAAAUAAUUUAUUAACAAUCGAUAUUUCAAUAUUUGUACAUUUGUGGUGAAAUUACAAUUUAUUAUUUUUCAUUAAAUUUUAUUAUCAGUUUGAGAUUUUAUUGCUAAGUUGGAUUAUAUACGUUUAUGUCACAGGUCAAUAGUUUCUUUGGCCACGGAUUAACCCAUAUAGCACUAGGCCAACUUUUAUUCUAUAAUUGUUCUAAUGAAUAAUAUGACAAAUAGCUCUUUUCAUACAAGAUCGUACCACGCCCAGCUUAGUUCGAACGUCUAGUCGAGCGAGAUAGCAGCUCUCUUUAAAUUCAACAACUGGUUUUAACCUGCUAUGGCCUUAUCGAGAGAAUAGCAUCAACCCCAACCAAUUUUGUGCGCAGGAAACCAAUCCCACUUUCGAAGCUUAUAAGUAAUAUUAUCAUUCUAUCCUAGAAAUCCAAGCAUCAACCGUCUUGACGCCAUUCCCACGAAUUAGUUGUAUUUAUCCUCUAUGCGCCCUCGCUUUUCACUUCGCUUUUCACUUGAUAACCUCACAGCUACGGGAAAAUCACGGAUCAUGUCAUUUACACUCAAUUUACCAUAAAUGUACUAAUUUGUACCAAUUUGUGUUUCUUCAUGAUAAUUAACAGAUGAUAAAAUUUGUCACAAAUCAUUUUUGAUGAUUAAAAGAAUAAUUUGGAGUUUGGAAUUUACAGAUAAAUUCAGCUAGGGUUUUUGAGUAUACAUAAUUUUUAUUCCUGUCCGGAUAAAUUUUACCUCUGAAUUGAUGACACGAAAUUAAGAAUUUUUCUGUAUCGUCUCCUUUGUGCAUGUCCUUUCAGCAGAUCACGUUUUAUUUAUGAGUUGGCGAAUUUUUCCGUAUCGUCUCAUCAGUGCAUAUGUCCUUUCAGUGGGUCACGUUUUAUUUAUGAGUUGGCAUUUAUGCUAAUCCCAUCUCUCGCCGCCAAGGUCGCUAGCGGUUCGACCACAAGUUGCCGGAGCUAUGGUCCGAGAACGAUCACGGGGGCGGCGGUGCCAAGGAACGAAGGCAACCGCAACGCUUAAAUUACUCUUUGGAAGUACGCUCGCUAACACAUGAUUUCCAUCAAAAGAGACCAACUUAAGCCAGUUACUGAACUCCACUCACUAUCAUCAACAUUCAUCAAACGACAUCAAUCAUCUUCAACCUUCUAAGAAAACCCCACAACAGGGUGUUCAUAGUCUCAGACAAGGAAGUUUUCAUUAACACAUUAUCUAGAAACAUUACACGACGAACAUCAUCGGAGCCGCGGGAGCAGCUUUCUUUCAGUGCUUGCAUUGCGGCUCGAAGGCGAAGGGGCCGACGGUGAAGACCGUGUAGGGGAGCUUGUCGAUCAUGACGGGCUUCUCCGGCCUGAGGACCGCGCCGACGGUGCCGCCGUGGAGGGCGGAGGGCUUCUGGCACGAGGGGACCGGCGACGAGGCGAGGGACGCCAUGCACUUGUGGAAGGCGUAGGUUGUGAUGGUCUUGGGGGCCUUGAGGAAGAAGUAGCCGUUCUUGUCGGUCUUCGCCGUCUGCACGGUGGGUCGGUACUUGGUGUUGUUGCAUUCCAGCUUCACGACGGCACCUGCAAAGAACGAAACCUCGUCGUCAAAACGACAAGAUCUUGGGGGAAAAAAAGGGAGAUCGAGAAAAUUCACUGAAACAUAAUCUUGAAAACUUUCAAAUGUCUAGAAUUUAGGGUUGUUGACAAUUUUUUUUCGCUUAAAUGGCGAAAAGGGUUAUGAUUAGUAUUCCCAAGAAAUGAAUAAAUAAAUUUGGAAAAACGGGUGUAUGGCCAUUGGCCAAAAUUCAAACUUUCAUAAAGUGUGGGGGAAAGUUGACAAGACACGUUUUAGGGCAGAGAGAGAGAAAGGAGAUGCGUCCAUAUUUUUCAGUCCCUUUUUCAGACAUCGAUGAAAGAGAAAGGUCGGGCCUCGUUAACCUAACUUCGCUCUUACCGAGAAAUAUGAGACAUUGGGGAAAAACAAGAAAUUACCACAACACCAUAAAGAAAAAAAUACAGCACUAGAACCCAGAGAGAGAGAGAGAGAGAGAGAGAGUAAUAAUAAUGUCCGCCAGUUAAAAAUGGGUAUUAUGUCUAUAUGUUUCCUUUUUCCUUUUUGCUUCUUUAUAUGCACUGAAACCCUAAGAAAGGAUGGAAAUUUAGCAAGUUCAUAACAUUAGUCCAACAUGCAAAAUACAGAAGGAUAAAGAGGAAAAAGAAAAUGGUGGGUUUUUGGCUUUUGAAACUGAGGGAAAAAUGGCAAGACUUUUGGGGAAAAUGUAAAAGAAAACUGACCAAGAACUGGAGUAGCUCCCAGGAGAGUUUCGACCCCGGAGUACUUGCACGACUUGCAGUACACCACCCCCUGGACGGCUAUGAACCGCCGGCCCAUGGGGGCCACGGGGGGGUGGACGGGCGGGUGGACCGGCACGUGGGGCGGCGCGUGGGCCGGAGCGUGGGACGNNNNNNNNNNNNNNNNNNNNNNNNNNNNNNNNNNNNNNNNNNNNNNNNNNNNNNNNNNNNNNNNNNNNNNNNNNNNNNNNNNNNNNNNNNNNNNNNNNNNGAUUUAUAGGAGUUUUAAUGCAUGAAUCUGUGCGGCUUCUCUCAUGAGAAAAGCCCCUCUUUUUCUUUUUCUUUUUUCUCUAUUUUACCUUUUUCUUGUUCUUGUUUUUAUUUGGGUGGGGGCAGACAGGGGUCUAGAGUAGUCCUCGGUCGAGAAAAGAACAGAAGAAAAGAACGGCUCAAGUAAUUUAAAAAUAAUUGUGACCAAGUAAAAAGGGGAGAAAAUUUUGGCUGGGGUUGGCUGUGUAGUAUGUAUUGUAAGGGUAAUUUAAUAGAGUUAAAAAAAAAAAAAAACAGGAGGGAAGACACUUUUGGGUUAAUAAAUGACGUAGAAAAGCGGCUUCGGAUUAUUUCGAGUGAACCAUAAAGAGAUUUUGAAUUAAUGAACUAAUUGGUUUGAUUUUCCAUUUUUCGAAUCCAACGUGAAAUAUUGCGAUAUAAAUAUUCCUUUAGAGAGACCAUAUCAAUUUAAUAGAGAGCAUUUUCAAACUCUAUUAGACUCGAGUGCUCAAAAGAAGGGUAAGGCCAGGAAAACGGGCUGAGGAUGACUGAGGUUUACGUGUAGAAUACACAAUAACUUCCAUCAUUAUAAUUAUUGCUCCCAGAAUUCCUGCCUCCAGCGGAUGUGAAUUCUUACUAAAUCAGUUUCUAUAGAAUGCGCGAUGUCGACGGCUCAAGGUAGAGCAUUCAAUUGGUCAUGGUGACUACAUUUGCCUUCACUAGCCUCGGGGAGAGCAGUGAUAAGGGUCUAAAUUUCCGUUGCAAACACAAACGACAAAAACAAAUUUCAUUUUUGUGAAGAGAACGAUGUGCAUUCAAGAAGAGGCUCGAAAAGGGGAUCAAACUGGUGAAAGCGCUUUUCAUUAAGAAAGGGAAAUUGGAAGAGCUUGAAAUACUUAGAUAACUAUCAGUAAAAAAAUAAAAAAUAAAAAGAGGGUCGGUCGACACUCUCAUCCAUUCCUAUCGGCUCCUUUAUUUCAUUCUUUGCUCCUUUUAUCAAUGAAGCACAUUUAUGCUAGAGGUAAUCAUGGGUUUGAUGGCCCGCCUAAGCCUAAUGACGUGAAACGUGAAAGGGACGAGUCUAGACAAGCAAUUCCCUUCCUGAGCCCGACACGUUCAAGCCAUUAUCGAUUUCGUGUAGAAAAGAUAAUAACCCUUUGAUCAAGCGGCCAGCUCAUGAAGGGUAUCGAUGCCACGCCGUUAUCAGUCAGGAGAGCAACACCAAAGUAAUUCUUAAGUAGUUGUCAGCGGCCUACAAGAAGGCCAUGAUUGAGCACUGCUUCUAGGGAAUGAUCGAUCCCUCAUGGAACUUUGCAGAAGCUAAUGUAGCUAGGGCACCUCUCUUGCCUCAGCAGCCCAUUUCUCCAUGAAGGAGAUAGUAGUAAUCAUAGGCAAAGCUAAUCCCAUCUAAAGUAGCAAGAGAAGGGACAGAACCCCCAUCCAUGACGAUGAAGAGAACGUGUUGUGUUAUCAAACCGUAUCCGAGGCUAUUGAGAAGUGGGGACUGGGAUUGGAGCACGAAAAGCAAAAGCCGGAGUGUUCGGUAAUAAUGAUGGCGACCAGUACAGCAGCAGAGACUUUCGCGGGCAAGUUAAUAUUAUACGAGACGAGAAGUCACGGCACAAGUCUGUCCACUUCUGUCUCUCUUUUUUUUUUCGUUUUGCCAUCUGGUGCAAAAAGAUUAAUUAUUAUUCAUCAGUAAGCUUUGAGUCAAAAUAUGUUUUCCCGCCGCGCAUAAUGAUCAAGGUUCCAUUUGAUCAAGUGCUUUGCUCGGACAUUAUAUUAAUCAUUGAUUAGUCGUGCAUAGUUCACGUAAACCUUCCUGCAACGUUCAAUCUUAUUCAAUGAUUCUAAUUUCUAAUGAGGGUUUUCCAUUUCGUGCCAUGGGACCAUCCGUAGUACCUUGGAAUAUUGUACCUUGACAUAAGAGUUGUAAUACAUCACCAACCGGUCAUAAUGUUGUCACGCACGGACAAGUAAUUUAUUGAAUGGUAGUUUGCAUCGCAUGAAAUUUGACUUAUUUUUGCCCUUCCACAGAGUUCCAACAUUUGGAACUACAAAAGAGUGAACAUGGAAAGGGCUGGGGUUAAUCAAUUGAUUCAAGAAAAGAUGUGCGGAUCUCCAUUACUUCAUGAAUUAUUUUUUUGCAAAUCGGUCUCUCGACCGUUUGUUUUUGUCGGUGUCGAACAGAGAAUACGUUAUGGAACGCAGACAAAAACAGAGCCAAGCUUUGAGGGAAAGGAAGUACGAUAUGAUGAUGUCUAACAUGAGAGGAUAGAAAGCAAAGUAAAAGGAGUAAAGGGGUGUCGGAGGGUGCCCUUUUUAGCACGUGUAAAAGGCAUUGAGGAUAAGGGGAAGCUUCACUUCAGAUGGCACGAAGCACAAAGUAGCAAUGCAAGGCAGGGAAAAGAUACAAAAAAU